UUAAUUGAAGAGUUUGAUCAUGGCUCAGAUUGAACGCUGGCGGCAGGCCUAACACAUGCAAGUCGAGCGGUAACAGAUUGAUAGCUUGCUAUCAAUGCUGACGAGCGGCGGACGGGUGAGUAAUGCCUGGGAAUAUACCCUGAUGUGGGGGAUAACUAUUGGAAACGAUAGCUAAUACCGCAUAAUCUCUUCGGAGCAAAGAGGGGGACCUUCGGGCCUCUCGCGUCAGGAUUAGCCCAGGUGGGAUUAGCUAGUUGGUGGGGUAAUGGCUCACCAAGGCGACGAUCCCUAGCUGGUCUGAGAGGAUGAUCAGCCACACUGGAACUGAGACACGGUCCAGACUCCUACGGGAGGCAGCAGUGGGGAAUAUUGCACAAUGGGGGAAACCCUGAUGCAGCCAUGCCGCGUGUAUGAAGAAGGCCUUCGGGUUGUAAAGUACUUUCAGUUGUGAGGAAGGCGUUGGAGUUAAUAGCUUCAGCGUUUGACGUUAGCAACAGAAGAAGCACCGGCUAACUCCGUGCCAGCAGCCGCGGUAAUACGGAGGGUGCGAGCGUUAAUCGGAAUUACUGGGCGUAAAGCGCAUGCAGGCGGUCUGUUAAGCAAGAUGUGAAAGCCCGGGGCUCAACCUCGGAACAGCAUUUUGAACUGGCAGACUAGAGUCUUGUAGAGGGGGGUAGAAUUUCAGGUGUAGCGGUGAAAUGCGUAGAGAUCUGAAGGAAUACCGGUGGCGAAGGCGGCCCCCUGGACAAAGACUGACGCUCAGAUGCGAAAGCGUGGGGAGCAAACAGGAUUAGAUACCCUG
rnacentral:rRNA from 1 species